rnacentral:rRNA from 1 species
AUUGAACGCUGGCGGCAUGCCUUACACAUGCCAGUCGAACGGUAACAGGUUAAGCUGACGAGUGGCGAACGGGUGAGUAAUGUAUCGGAACGUGCCCAGUCGUGGGGGAUAACUGCUCGAAAGAGCAGCUAAUACCGCAUACGACCUGAGGGUGAAAGCGGGGGAUCGCAAGACCUCGCGCGAUUGGAGCGGCCGAUAUCAGAUUAGGUAGUUGGUGAGGUAAAGGCUCACCAAGCCGACGAUCUGUAGCUGGUCUGAGAGGACGACCAGCCACACUGGGACUGAGACACGGCCCAGACGCCUACGGGAGGCAGCAGUGGGGAAUUUUGGACAAUGGGCGCAAGCCUGAUCCAGCCAUGCCGCGUGCGGGAAGAAGGCCUUCGGGUUGUAAACCGCUUUUGUCAGGGAAGAAAAGGUUCUGGCUAAUACCUGGGACUCAUGACGGUACCUGAAGAAUAAGCACCGGCUAACUACGUG